AUACGGAGGGUCCAAGCGUUAUCCGGAAUCAUUGGGCUUAAAGGGUCCGCAGGCGGUCAAUUAAGUCAGAGGUGAAAGCCCAUCGCUCAACGAUGGAACUGCCUUUGAUACUGGUUGACUUGAGUUAUACGGAAGUAGAUAGAAUAAGUAGUGUAGCGGUGAAAUGCAUAGAUAUUACUUAGAAUACCGAUUGCGAAGGCAGUCUACUACGUAUAUACUGACGCUGAGGGACGAAAGCGUGGGGAGCGAACAGGAUUAGAUACCCGGGUAGUCC
rnacentral:rRNA from 1 species